rnacentral:rRNA from 1 species
UAGGGAAUCUUCGGCAAUGGACGAAAGUCUGACCGAGCAACGCCGCGUGAGUGAAGAAGGUUUUCGGAUCGUAAAACUCUGUUGUUAGAGAAGAACAAGGACGUUAGUAACUGAACGUCCCCUGACGGUAUCUAACCAGAAAGCCACGGCUAACUACGUGCCAGCAGCCGCGGUAAUACGUAGGUGGCAAGCGUUGUCCGGAUUUAUUGGGCGUAAAGCGAGCGCAGGCGGUUUCUUAAGUCUGAUGUGAAAGCCCCCGGCUCAACCGGGGAGGGUCAGUGGAAACUGGGAGACUUGAGUGCAGAAGAGGAGAGUGGAAUUCCAUGUGUAGCGGUGAAAUGCGUAGAUAUAUGGAGGAACACCAGUGGCGAAGGCGGCUCUCUGGUCUGUAACUGACGCUGAGGGUCGAAAGCGUGGGGAGCAAACAGG